UUCCAUCGCACCACCCUCCCUGGCAGUCUUUCUCUGGCUUCUGUCCACUCCACCCCUCCCAGUUCUCAGGCUCCUUGGUGUCUCAUUAAUCCUCCACCAAUGUCCUCAGACCCGGAUCCAGCAUCUGGAUCUAGAGCGGCCCGGGUGCACUGCUAGGAAAGGGCUGCUGUCCCUCCCCCCACCCAGCAAGAAAAGACUGAAGAGUGGACCUCAACAUGGCUGAUCAUUUCCUAAAGACGGUUUGAGGAGGAGACAGAAACUUAUAGGUUUGAAAGUAAAAAUGCCCAGCAGAACGGGAUAUUUCCAAGACUACAUUAAGGGCAGUGGGGAUCUCCCCACACCCAUUCACACCAUGCCAGAUACCAGAGAAAAUGGCAACGGUAAACAUGCAAAGACACAGCAGGAGCAAGAAAUAUCCAGGGGCUCUCCAGGCUUCGCCUAUCCAAGAAUCACACAUCAAAGCUUUGCUUCCUAGUGGGCUGGCUUCCUGAACCUCAACUGCCACCUGCUGGUCCUCUGACAGGACCACCUGCAGUCAAUCUUCUGAUCAGUGCCCAGAGACAGACAGGACCACUGCCCUUUCUAAUCUAAGUAAUUCCACAUC